CGGCCAAUGCCGACAUCGAACUGAGCGUGGAGUCUAAGUGAGAGCAGCAUACCUUGAAGUUGGUGUUGUGGCACAUCUUGGUCGGCUUGUCCAAGUGUUUAAUCAGUAAUGAACAGCAUAAAAAAGACAUAUCUGCAUCCCGUCAUGAUGAUAAAGUAACCAACCUGUCCAGGAACAGAGAGGACUUACCCUGGUAGCAGACGCAGAGGAACAGAACAGAGAAGAGGAUCUUGGCACUGUCCAUGGUAGACACCAUGAUGGGUCACUGAUAACCUGAGCUUUACGGAGGUGUCUGGACUAACACUGAGUGAAGAUCUCUUCCAGAGAACAGAAGAAAUGAUCAGAUAAACCAGUGGCUCCAUCGACAGGAGAAUUUGGCACAUCUCCAGUGGGGGAGGGACCUUGGACCUUGUCUUCCAAUCAGAGUAUGUGAGCGGAGCUGGAGCGGAGUGAGGAGUGGUGCUGGAGCGGAGCAUGCCCAAUUUGACUGGAGCGCGGAGUGAGAUUCCCAA
rnacentral:lncRNA from 1 species